GCACACUUAGCUUGAUCAGUGGUUAGAGCACCCUUCUAGAGUUUGGGGUAAAAUAAGCCAUGGGUUCAAAUCCCAUAGUGCACA
rnacentral:tRNA from 1 species